AGAUAUUACAGUAAAACUCUCAUAUCCAUGGUUUCAAUAUCCAUAGCUUCACUUAAUUGUGAUUGAAAAAAUUAAAUAAAAAAUUCAGAAAUACAAUAAGCAUUCAUAAUUCAAGUUCAUUUCAUCAUAUAAUGUAGGCAUUGUGUCAUCAUCACAUCAUUACAAGAAGAAGAACAAAAGAAUGAAUACAGAACAAAAUUUUAGAGAGAGAGCCAGACCACAUUCACAUAAUUUUUAUUGUUAUAAUUGUUCUGUUUUAUUAUUGAUUAUUGUUGUUAGUUGUUAGUGUCUUAUUGUCCUAAUUUAUAAAUUAAACUUUAUCAUAAGUAUGUGCAGCUCAUACGGU
rnacentral:lncRNA from 1 species